rnacentral:rRNA from 1 species
AUGGCGCCCACGCCCUACUUCCUCCUCGGGGCCGCCCUGGAGGACACGCCGGCAGCUGACACGUCGGCCCAUGCCGUCGCGCCGGACCACUCAACUGCGGUGGCGCGGGCGGGGCAGCGCCGCCAGGCGGCGUCCGGGCCGGGGAGGCAGCAGGCGGCCUCCGGCGGCGGCGGCGUCAAGAAGACCCCGAAGCGCGGCCCCGGCGUGGCGGAGCUCGAGCGCCUGCUCUGCGGCGGUGGCGGGCUUCCGACCAGGAGGACCCCGAACCCGCAGCGCGGCCUCAGCGUGGCGGACCUCGAGCGCCUGCGCUGCGGCGGCGUCGACCCGCAGCACGACCUCAACUCCGUCGUCCUGCAGCAGCACCACGACUACCUGCCUGCCUUCGACGCCGCCACCACCAACGCGCCAUACUACUCUAACCACAAUCUCGCGGACACCAUGACGGCCGCUCGCAAGGAGACGGCCGGAGAAGGGUUCGCGGCAGCGGAGGGGAGGAAGGAGGUGCGGGAGAUCGAGUUCUUCCCGGCGAGGGUCACCAGCCACGGCGGUCCCGACGAGUCCGAGCUGCGCACGACGCCGCCCUCCUCCUCGUCGCCACCCAGCGGCGUUGGUGGCUCCCUGGACCUGUCCCUGAGGCUCUAG